GUUUGAUCAUGGCUCAGAAUCAACGCUGGCGGCGUGCCUAACACAUGCAAGUCGAACGCGAAAGUCCCGCAAGGGAUCAGUAGAGUGGCAAACGGGUGAGUAACACGUGGGUGACCUGCCUUCGAGCGGGGGAUAACGUCCCGAAAGGGUCGCUAAUACCGCAUGACAUCCUGCCUUUGAACAGGUGGAGAUCAAAGCUGGGGAUCGCAAGACCUAGCACUCGAAGAGGGGCCCGCGCCUGAUUAGCUAGUUGGUGGGGUAACGGCUCACCAAGGCUACGAUCAGUAUCCGGCCUAAGAGGGCGGACGGACACACUGGGACUGAGACACGGCCCAGACUCCUACNGGAGGCAACAGUGGGGAAUUGUUCGCAAUGGGCGCAAGCCUGACGACGCAACGCCGCGUGGAGGAUGAAGACCUUCGGGUC
rnacentral:rRNA from 1 species